AUUGAACGCUGGCGGCAGGCCUAACACAUGCAAGUCGAGCGGGGUUUUCGGACCUAGCGGCGGACGGGUGAGUAAUGCGUAGGAAGCUACCCGAUAGAGGGGGAUACCAGUUGGAAACGACUGUUAAUACCGCAUAAUGUCUACGGACCAAGGUGUGGGACCUUCGGGCCACAUGCUAUCGGAUGCGCCUACGUGGGAUUAGCUAGUUGGUGAGGUAAUGGCUCACCAAGGCGACGAUCCCUAGCUGGUUUGAGAGGAUGAUCAGCCACACUGGAACUGAGACACGGUCCAGACUCCUACGGGAGGCAGCAGUGGGGAAUAUUGGACAAUGGGCGCAAGCCUGAUCCAGCCAUGCCGCGUGUGUGAAGAAGGCCUUCGGGUUGUAAAGCACUUUCAGUAGGGAGGAAGGGUUAAGUGUUAAUAGUACUUAACUUUGACGUUACCUACAGAAGAAGCACCGGCUAACUCUGUGCCAGCCGCCGCUGUAAGAC
rnacentral:rRNA from 1 species